GACGAACGCUGGCGGCGUGCCUAAUACAUGCAAGUAGAACGCACAGUUUAUACCGUAGCUUGCUACACCAUAGACUGUGAGUUGCGAACGGGUGAGUAACGCGUAGGUAACCUGCCUGGUAGCGGGGGAUAACUAUUGGAAACGAUAGCUAAUACCGCAUAAUAUUGAUUAUUGCAUGAUAAUUAAUUGAAAGGUGCAAUUGCACCACUACCAGAUGGACCUGCGUUGUAUUAGCUAGUAGGUGAGGUAACGGCUCACCUAGGCGACGAUACAUAGCCGACCUGAGAGGGUGAUCGGCCAAACUGGGACUGAGACACGGCCCAGACUCCUACGGGAGGCAGCAGUAGGGAAUCUUCGGCAAUGGACGAAAGUCUGACCGAGCAACGCCGCGUGAGUGAAGAAGGUUUUCGGAUCGUAAAGCUCUGUUGUAAGAGAAGAACGGGUGUGAGAGUGGAAAGUUCACACUGUGACGGUAUCUUACCAGAAAGGGACGGCUAACUACGUG
rnacentral:rRNA from 1 species